rnacentral:rRNA from 1 species
GGAUUGCCCUAGUAACGGCGAGUGAAGCGGCAACAGCUCAAAUUUGAAAUCUGGCCCUUUCAGGGUCCGAGUUGUAAUUUGCAGAGGGUGCUUCGGCGUCGGCCCCGGGCCAAGUCCCCUGGAACGGGGCGUCCUAGAGGGUGAGAACCCCGUACCCACCCGGGUGCCCUUCGCCGUGUGAAGCCCCUUCGACGAGUCGAGUUGUUUGGGAAUGCAGCUCUAAGCGGGAGGUAAAUUUCUUCUAAAGCUAAAUACCGGCCAGAGACCGAUAGCGCACAAGUAGAGUGAUCGAAAGAUGAAAAGCACUUUGGAAAGAGAGUUAAAAAGCACGUGAAAUUGUUGAAAGGGAAGCUCUUGCCGCCAGACUUGCCGCGGUUGCUCAGCCGCCCUCCGGGGCGGUGUACUCUUCCGUCGACAGGCCAGCGUCGGUUCGGGCGACCGGAUAAAGGCCUCGGGAAUGUAGCACCUCUCGGGGUGUGUUAUAGCCCGGGGCGCAAUGCGGUCAGCCCGGUCCGAGGCACGCGUUCGCGAGGACGCUGGCGUAAUGGCCGCAAGCGACCCGUCUUGAAACACGGACCAAGGAGUCUAACAUCUGUGCGAGUGUUUGGGCGUCAAACCCAUGCGCGUAAUGAAAGUGAACGGAGGUGGGAACCCCCUCGAGGGGCGCACCAUCGACCGAUCCUGAUGUCUUCGGAUGGAUUUGAGUAAGAGCAUAGCUGUUGGGACCCGAAAGAUGGUGAACUAUUCCCGGAUAGGGUGAAGCCAGAGGAAACUCUGGUGGAGGCUCGCAGCGGUUCUGACGUGCAAAUCGAUCGUCAAAUCUAGGAAUAGGGGCGAAAGACUAAUCGAACCAU